rnacentral:rRNA from 1 species
AUUGAACGCUGGCGGCGUGCUUAACACAUGCAAGUCGAUCGGUAACGCGGGGGCAACCCUGGCGACGAGAGGCGGACGGGUGAGGAACGCUUGGGAAUCUGCCCUUCAGCGGGGGACAACCCGGGGAAACCCGGGCUAAUACUGCAUACGCUCCACGGAGGAAAGCCGGGGACCGCAAGGCCUGGCACUGAAGGAUGAGCCCAAGUCGGAUUAGCUAGUUGGCGGGGUAACGGCCCACCAAGGCGACGAUCCGUAGCUGGUCUGAGAGGACGAUCAGCCACACUGGGACUGAGACACGGCCCAGACUCCUACGGGAGGCAGGAGUGGGGAAUAUUGGACAAUGGGGGAAACCCUGAUCCAGCGACGCCGCGUGGGUGAAGAAGGCCUGCGGGUUGUAAAGCCCUUUCGGUAGGGACGAAAGCUCUCGACCUAACACGUCGGGAGGAUGACUUAACCUACAAAAGAAGCACCGGCUAACUCUGUGCCAGCCGCCGCCGUAA